rnacentral:tRNA from 12 species
ACCAGUGUAGCUCAGUUGGUUAGAGCAUCGUCUUGAUAAGGCGGGUGUCAGAGGUUCAAAUCCUCUCACUGGUA